GACGAACGCUGGCGGCGCGCUUAACACAUGCAAGUCGAGCGAGAACCGGGACUUCGGUCCCGGGGACAGCGGCGAACGGGUGAGUAACACGUGGGUAAUCUGCCCUCGAUUCUGGGAUAGCCCGGGGAAACCCGGAUUAAUACCGGAUAGCCUUUCGAGCUUUCGGGCUUGGAAGAAAAGGUAGCUUCGGCCUCCGAUCGAGGAUGAGCCCGCGGUGGAUUAGCUUGUUGGCGGGGUAAUGGCCCACCAAGGCGACGAUCCAUAGCUGGUCUGAGAGGACGAUCAGCCACACUGGGACUGAGACACGGCCCAGACUCCUACGGGAGGCAGCAGUGGGGAAUCUGCGCAAUGGGCGAAAGCCUGACGCAGCGACGCCGCGUGGGGGAAGAAGGCCUUAGGGUUGUAAACCUCUUUCAGGUGGGACGAAGCCACUCGGGUUAAUAGCCCAGAGGGUGACGGUACCGCCAGAAGAAGCCCCGGCUAACUACGUGCCAGCCGCCGCAGUAAAAC
rnacentral:rRNA from 1 species